rnacentral:lncRNA from 1 species
AUUUAAAAAGGGAGGGGCAGUAAAGAGAGGAGAGCUCUGUGGUGCUGAAGCCAGAUGAAAUAACAGAGAUCACAUUUCCGUUUGGAUAUAUGAAGAUUCUUUUGGGGAUUUAACACACAAAACUGUGUUUUCAUGAAGGUCGGAUCAACUACCAUUAACAUCAGCGGAAACAAAUGUUAAAUCUAAGUAGCGUUUCAAUAGAUGAUCACUCCCACAACAAUGGACUCUGCCUUAAUUAUGCAGUCAUACAAAAGGUACGUUUCGCUCCUUAUUCUUUUUACCAUGGUCCAUUAUAUUUCUGCUUCAGUGACCCAUUACUCAAUUCCCGAAGAAAUGAAAGAAGGAUCUGUUGUCGCUAAUCUUGCCACCGAUCUGAGCCUGGACGUUAGAACUCUAAAACAGAGGAAGAUGCGCCUUGACAUCAUCGCCAACAAAAAAUACGUGGACGUGAACAAAGACACGGGUGAACUGUAUAUUGUAGAGAAAAUAGAUAGAGAACAUUGCCCUACAAAGAUGUCCGCAUCAUGUUAUCUCAAACUUGAGGUGAUACUUGAGAAUCCGUUAAGAAUUUUUAAUAUAGAACUAGAGAUUUUAGAUAUAAACGACAACGCCCCUCAGUUUAGAAGAGACGCCAUUCAUUUAGACAUUUCCGAAUCAACGUCCGCGGGAGAAAGAUUCUCUCUCAGUAAUGCAGUUGAUCCCGAUAUUGAAACUAAUUCAGUCAAAACAUACAUUUUAAGUAGCAGUGAGCAUUUCAACAUAGAAGUUCAAACUGGAAGAGAUGGGUCAAAAUUUGCAGAUUUGAUAUUAACAAAGGCUUUAGAUCGAGAGCAGCAAGCUGUUCACAAUUUAAUACUCACAGCUGUAGAUGGGGGGCAGCCUGCUCGAUCUGGAACGGCCAGUAUAAUAGUUCAUGUUUUGGACACAAAUGACAAUGCACCAAAAUUUAAUCAACAAAACUAUAACAUUGAAAUUAUGGAAAACUCCCCCAUAGGAAGCCUUGUCAUUCAUCUAAAUGCCACAGACUUAGAUGAGGGAUCUAACUCUGAUGUAACUUACUCUUACAGUUUAUACACUUCAGAGAAAACACAGGAAACAUUUCACCUGAAUCCCUCCACCGGUGAAAUCACUGUUAAAGGCAUGCUGAAUUAUGAGGAUUUCAGGAUUUAUGAUAUGGAGAUUAUAGCUACUGACAAAGGAGCCAACAGUUUGUCAGGACAGUGUACCAUCAAGAUUCUGGUAGAAGACAUGAAUGAUAACCACCCAGAAAUAUCUAUUAAAUCAUUUCAGAGUCCAGUCAAUGAAAACAUAGAACUAGACACAGUGAUAGCUGUGGUUAGUGUGAGUGAUAAAGACUCUGGUGAUAAUGGAGUGGUUGAUCUUCAUAUUCCAGAUAAUAUGCCUUUCAAACUGAGAGAGUCCUCUGAUAACUAUUAUGAGUUAGUGGUGUCAGAGCCCUUAGACCGUGAGAAGGUUCCAGAAUAUGACAUCACCUUCACUGUGACAGACAGAGGUUCUCCUCCUUUAUCUGACAAUGAAACUAUGACCUUAGAGCUGCUGGAUGUCAACGACAAUGUCCCACAGUUCCCUCAGUCUUUUUAUACCAUCCGUGUGAUGGAGAAUAACGCACCUGGAGCCCUGCUCAGCUCCCUCACUGCCUUUGACCCUGACCUCCAUGAAAACCAGUAUCUAGUUUAUUUCAUCCUGGAGAAGGAGAUAGCCAACACCUCCAUGUCCAUGCUGUUCUCCAUCAAUCCAGAGAACGGAAAUCUUUACGCACUCAAAACUUUUGACUAUGAGAUUGAGAAGGACUUUCUUUUCCACAUUGAGGCCAGAGACUCUGGCUCUCCUCCUCUCAGCAGUAACGUCACAGUCCACAUCAUCAUUGUGGACCAGAAUGAUAACGCUCCGGUCAUUGUGUCUCCAUGGCGAGCACAUGGCUCAGUGGUGGAGGAAAAGAUCCCCAGGUCCACAGAUAAGGGCUCUCUGGUUGCCAAGGUGAUAGCCUUGGACACAGACUCUGUGCACAACUCUCGGAUCACCUACCAGUUUCUGCAGGUGACCGACGCCACCUUGUUCAGUCUGGACCAGUACAACGGAGAGAUCCGGACUAUGAGGAUGUUCAGCUACAGAGACCCACGCCACCAGAGACUGGUUGUUGUUGCCAAGGACAACGGGCAGCCCGCUCUGUCUGCUACAGUCACCAUCAAGCUGUCCACAGUGGAGACUGCUGUCAAGGCCUACGCUGACAUGACUGAGGUGCCUCUGGCGUACGACAUCUUCAAUGACCUGAACCUGUACUUGGUCAUCGGUCUGGGCUCGGUGUCAUUUCUCCUGCUCAUCACCAUACUGGUCACCAUCGUGCUCAAGUGUCAGAAAACCAAGCCCAGCAAAGCGGCUCCUCCCUGCAGGAACAGUGUGAUCAGUGAGAGGAACUCCACCAUCGCAGACUCCACUCUGGUGUCCAACGAUGCCUACUGGUACAGUCUGUUUCUAGCAGAGACCAGGAAAGGAAAGCUGGUGGUCAGACAGCCUGUGCCAAAGGGAUCCAGAUACAUUGUGUCCAGUAUACCCAGAGGUACAGGACUGACAGACACGAGUGACUCAGCAGCCUCCACUCUGCAGGUACAAGUCUGACUUACAUUUUUCUUGCAUUCUUUAAAAUGCCAUUUAUUUUAAUUUCACUUCAUGCUGGCGAAACUUUGUUGGCCAACCUUUGUGCUAUUUGAAUGAAGGUGGGUUCUUUAGUUCAACCCAUCUGCCUGGUCAUGUGUUUUAUUCCUCCCAGUGACUGUUACAAAGUAAGAGAGAAAUCAAAUGCAAACAGCUGCAGCCUUAACAGUAUUUUUUUUUUUUUUGCCUGUCGUUGAAAAUUCAGCACCUUCCUCUCUAAGCUUUAAAAGGCAACGUUAAAAUCAGAGAAAGGAAGAAUAAACAAUUUUCACACAUGGGAGCCAUAGCAGCCUCCGCUAUUUGUGUGUGAAUGUGGUGUGAAUGGGUGAAUUUGACAUGUUAUGUAAAAGUGCUUUGAGUGGUCAAAAGACUAGAGAAUGCAAUAUAAACAUAGUCCAUUUAAUGCUAACAGUAUAAUAGAGACAACAGGUGAAAGAGAUAAAUGGUGAACAGACUGAUGUAAUGUGAGUUCAGGGAAGCACUGAAAUGCUGUGAUCAACAAUACAUCCAUCAGAUAUUCUCUAGAUUUGCGCAAGGAUGAAAGCACAGUUGUCCUGUCCGAGGGAAGAAAUCCAAUCCAAUCUUCAGGUUAUAACAUGUUACCUAUCCUUGAAUUCUUAGUAUCCAUUAUUUUUUAAUGUAAUCUUUAGUAUCUUUCCCUCCUCAAAAAGGCUCAAACAUGAUGUUGUAACUUGAGGCCGUACCCUUCUAUCCUGACAUUUACAGAUGACCAGCUGUGCUCCCCUAAAGUAUUUGUUAGACAGCAAGUUUGUAUUUGCUGUUUUAAAAAGUGUUUUUGAAAAAUACAAUUUUGCUGUUAUGAUUGAGGGACUGCUAUAGUGAUGUACAAUUAGUUUUUGGUGUUUAUAAAAAGUCAUUAAAAUAUUUAUAUUCUACGUGACUUUGGGUAAAGGAAUUUUUUUUAAAUUCUACCUGAUAAUUAAGUGAGAUAUUGAGUACAUUGACACUAUGAAAAAGCUUUGUAUGACUCAACCCAUAUUGGGUUGAUUUUAACACACCUCUGGGACAAAGUAGGCCCAAAAUGUGAUUAACUGAACCCAGCAUGUAGGGUUUACAAUUCGAGGAACACGCUGGUUCAUUUUUAUUGAUGGACUUAGUGGUACCAAGUGAAAACAAACAUGCAACUGGGGUAUUUAUUUCAUACAUCUGGCUGAGUUAAGGAAAUCCAGUGGUUAGCUGGUCCAAAUUGUAUUUGACCCAGGGGUGUAUUUAAAGAAAAAGUUUUUUACCCCAGAGUUUUAGGGUGUAAAUACAUAUUAUAUGAACAGAACAACAUCUUAACAUUCAUUAAUUCCAAAGUGCAAG